AGUGAACGCUGGCGGUAGGCCUAACACAUGCAAGUCGAACGGCAGCACAGUAAGAGCUUGCUCUUACGGGUGGCGAGUGGCGGACGGGUGAGGAAUACAUCGGAAUCUACUUUUUCGUGGGGGAUAACGUAGGGAAACUUACGCUAAUACCGCAUACGACCUACGGGUGAAAGCAGGGGAUCUUCGGACCUUGCGCGAUUGAAUGCGCCGAUGUCGGAUUAGCUAGUUGGCGGGGUAAAGGCCCACCAAGGCGACGAUCCGUAGCUGGUCUGAGAGGAUGAUCAGCCGCACUAGAACUGAGACACGGUCCAGGCUACUAAGGGAGGGAGCAGUGGGGAAUAUUGGACAAUGGGCGCAAGCAUGAUCCAGCCAUACCGCGUGGGUGGAGAAGGCCUUCGGGUUGUAAAGACCUUUUGUUGGGAAAGAAAAGCAGCAGGUUAAUACCCAGCUGUUCUGACGGUACCCAAAGAAUAAGCACCGGCUAACUUCGUG
rnacentral:rRNA from 1 species